rnacentral:rRNA from 1 species
GAUGAACGCUGGCGGCGUGCUUAACACAUGCAAGUCGAACGAACGGACGAGAAGCUUGCUUCUCUGUUGUUAGCGGCGGACGGGUGAGUAACACGUGGAUAAUCUACCUAUAAGACUGGGAUAACUACGGGAAACCGGAUCUAAUACCGGAUAAUAUUUUGAACCGCAGGGUUCAAAAGUGAAAGACGGUCUUGCGGGCACGUAUCGAUGGAUCUCGGCUGCAUUGGCUAGUUGGUAAGGUAACGGCUUGCCAAGGCAACGAUGCAUAGCCGACCUGAUAGGGUGGUCGGCCACCCUGGAACUGAGACAGGGUCCAGACUCCUGCGGGAGGCAGCAGUCGGGAAUCUUCCGCAAUGGGCGAGAGCCUGACAGAGCAACGGCGCGUGAGUGAUGAAGGUGCUCGGAUCGUAAAACUCUGUUAUUAGGGAAGAACAUAUGUGUAAGUAACUGUGCAGAGCUUGACGGUACCUGAUCAGAAAGCCCCGGCUAACUACGUG